rnacentral:misc_RNA from 1 species
GAUGAAGAACGUAGCGAAAUGCGAUACGUAAUGUGAAUUGCAGAAUUCAGUGAAUCAUCGAAUCUUUGAACGCACAUUGCACUCUCUGGUAUUCCGGAGAGUAUGCUUGUUUGAGUAUCUGUAAACAUCUCAAAUCUCUCUUCGCUUGCGUCGAGAGAAUUGGAUUUGAGCGAUCCCGACUCCUUCGUCAGAAAGAGGAGGGUCGCUUGAAAUGCAGGUGCAGCUGGACAUUCUUCUGAGCUAAAAGCAUAUCUAUGUAGUCCCGUCAAACGGAUUAUUACUUUUGCUUCAGCUAAUAUAAAGGUCGAAUGAACUACCAACGCUGAUUGCAGGAAAACUCGUUUGUAACAGAACUUGUAAACUCGAUCUCAAAUCAAGUAAGACUACCCGCUGAACUUAAGCAUAUCAAUAAGCGGAGGA